AUGACCCCCUCCGCCACUCAUCAUCGCCGGAGCCCCCGUGGCAUCCGGGCUCACCUGAGGCGACGCCACAAUGCCGCCACGGCGAGGACGCCGCCGCUCGCCGGCGCCACGGCAAGGGCGCUCGCCGCCGGGCUCUGGAGGCUCCGCCACGCCGAGCGGCAGGCGGUCAACCCCGGCCCUCUGCAGCGCGACGCUCAUUCUCCCCGUAGCCCCCGACACCGAAGAAAAGGGAAAGCGAAACUCUGCAAUGGCAACAAAACGCGGUGCGGUUUGGGCGUCGGAAUCGCAUGCAGAAAUCAUAGCAUUUUAGACAAGAUCGAUGCCUGCGCUGUGGACUUACCAUAUGGUUGUUGGAUGGAGAAGGCAACCAAAUGGGACCAGCAGCAUGUCUGCCUGCACAACAUGCUGGCUUCACAUGAUCCUUGCCGGCUACCACCACAUGUUCAUCACGCCCGUGCAAUGCCGGCUCACGGCCAUGCUUCGGCGUUGGCGGUGGCGCUGGAGGCCGAGCUUGACAAGGCCCGUGCUCGGAUCAGCGAGCUCGAGGACGAGAAGCGCGUGAUGAGGAAGAAGGUGGAGCGGUUCCUGAGGAAGCUCACGGAGGAGAAGGCGUCGUGGAAGAGCAGAAUGCGUGACAAGGCUCAGCACGUGAUCGCCACGUCAAAAGAGGACGUCAAGACGGAGAGGCGUCACCGGCGGCAGCUGGAGGCGGCCAACGGCAAGCUGGUGAAGGAGCUGGCGGAGGCCAAGGCGUCGGCGAAGCAGGCGGCGCAGAGCUACGAGAUGGAGCGCAAGGCGCGGGAGAUGAUGGAGGACGCGUGCGAGGAGCUGACGAAGGAGGUGGAGGAGGACCAGGCGGAGGUGGAGCUCCUGCGGCGCGAAUGCCUGGGCAUGCGUGAGGAGAUGGAGGAGGAGCGCCGGAUGCUGCAGAUGGCGGAGGUGUGGCGCGAGGAGAGGGUCCAGAUGAAGCUCUCGGACGCCAAGCUCGCGCUGGAGCACAAGUACUCGCAGCUCAACCGGCUGCAGGCCGAGAUGGAGUCGUUCCUGCGGAAAGACGGCAAGAGCAUCGACGCCAACAACUCCACGUUGCGGGAGGCACGGAUGAUCAGCGAGGCGGCGAGCUCCGUUCGGCUCCGCGGCGUCAAGGAGCUGAGCCAUCGGAACCCUCAUGCCCCGGAGGACGUGGAUCGGGUGUUCCAGCAGCUUUGCCGGAGAGAAGGGACGGCAAGCGGCGGCAGCCCGGCGUCCAACCUUCACUCCGUCAGCCCGGCGACGGACAUCUUCUUGGAAAAGCUCGACGGCUCCGCCGACCUGGAGAACGGCAGUGGCAGUAGCUGGGACACGCCCGACCGUGACCGGCGGCGUGAUUCUUGUGCUUCGGCUGGUACCAGCGACCGUUCAGUGGCGCGAGCGAGCAACGCGUCCUUGUUGUCCAAUGGCAAAGGAGGCAGCGGGCUCACUGAUCAGGUUCACCAUCCAAGUCCAAGCAGGGGCGCCACUGGGAAGAACACGGCGUUGAUACGGCGGCUCUGGAGGUCGGCGAUCAGCGAGAGCAGGAAGAAAACAGCUGGAUCUGCAGGGGCGACGCCGACAUCGGAACAGAGGUCAACACUGAUCACCCCGACAUUGCCGGUUGGGGAGCGGUGCAGCUCAUCCUACUUGGUGAAACCGCAGCAGCAGCGGCAGAGAAGCCACGAAUCCAAAGGAUUGGAGCGAGGGCCGCACAAGCACAAGCAGAAGCAAAGCCUGCAGGAGAAGCUUCUGGAGGCUAGGAUGGAUGAUCGCAAGCCCUCGCCCAGCUCUGCUGCCAAGCACAAGACGCAGCUAGCGGCAUGCAACUGA
rnacentral:rRNA from 1 species